GCGCUCGUAGCUCAAUUGGAUAGAGCGUCUGGCUUCGGACCAGAAGGUUGAGGGUUCAACUCCUUCCGGGCGCGCCA
rnacentral:tRNA from 2 species